UAGGGAAUCUUCGGCAAUGGACGAAAGUCUGACCGAGCAACGCCGCGUGAGUGAAGAAGGUUUUAGGAUCGUAAAACUCUGUUGUUAGAGAAGAACAAGGACGUUAGUAACUGAACGUCCCCUGACGGUAUCUAACCAGAAAGCCACGGCUAACUACGUGCCAGCAGCCGCGGUAAUACGUAGGUGGCAAGCGUUGUCCUGAUUUAUUGGGCGUAAAGCGAGCGCAGGCGGUUUCUUAAGUCUGAUGUGAAAGCCCCCGGCUCAACCGGGGAGGGUCAUUGGAAACUGGGAGACUUGAGUGCAGAAGAGGAGAGUGGAAUUCCAUGUGUAGCGGUGAAAUGCGUAGAUAUAUGGAGGAACACCAGUGGCGAAGGCGGCUCUCUGGUCUGUAACUGACGCUGAGGCUCGAAAGCGUGGGGAGCAAACAGG
rnacentral:rRNA from 1 species